AACAAAACAAAACAAAACAAAACAAAACAAAACAAAACAAAACAAAACAAAAGAGUAUUGAGAAAAGAGAGAGCCAAGGACAGCCCAGCUCUACUUUUAGGCCAGGGAGGUGGGAGAUUGGGACAAAGGAGACAGGGGUGAGGGUAGCCUGCAGAGCCAAAGAAAGAGCAGAGCAGUGGAGGUGAUGGGGAGCUUCGAGAGUCCCAGCAGAGUGUGUCAACCGUUAGGUGUUCCCAAGAAGCCGAUAAAACGCAAUUUGAGAGGGUUCAGCCGCACAGAGGUCCCUGGAAACUUUGGUAAGAGCAGCUUUGCGGUGUGAGGUAAGAGCCUGCCUGGAGAACUGGGAACGGGGAGCUUGUCAGCUUUGGUUUGAUUGUAUUAUCAUGCUAGGGAAGGGAUAAUGGCAGGAGUGGCUUUGACCCUAACACUGGACGGCAAGGAUGAAAAUCUGGUGCGUGUCACUGAUUCUUACGCCAUCCUAGCACUCCACCUUCAGUGUGUGUGCUGCCGAAGUGAGCACAGGCCACCUUCAGUGUGUGUGCCGCCGAAGUGAGCACACGCCAAUUCUUUGAGGAACAUUUUGCUGUAAAGGACCAGAGACUGCAGUGGUAGCUGGAAAGGGAAUGAGAUCAAAGGAACAGUUUGUUUUGUCUUCUGUUUUAGAUGGAGCUGCAGAGCAGCUUAAUUACACAGUGCACACAAUCAAGAGUGAUGUCUUUGACAGGAUGUGAUGCACAGUCAGGGAGGUCACUGCUAAGAUAAAGAAACUGAGGCUGAGAGGGAAAAUGCUCUGCAGAGCCAGCAAACAGCAAAGCCAGCCUUCCUUCACAGCUGCCCCACCAGGCUAGCCAAACACCUGCACUCCAGAUGUUUAGGAUGGACUUGAUAAGGCCUACAUAUGGGGAAAGUUAAAAAAAAAAAAAAAACACAAAAAACCUCAUGUAAUACAAGUGCUGCCCCCAGGCAACCUAGGAAUCUAGAGACACGGAGUGCCCAGUUCUCAGGAACCAUCGGAGGCAGGAGCAUAGCCCCAUUCUGCAGAAGCCUCCAGCGGACACGACUCCCCGCUUCACUGAAGUCACCCUGCAGACCCUUAUUUGUACCAAGCCUUGGGUUCACAGUGUUCCUUCUUAGACCUUCCAUUACAGAAUUAAUGCAGUCUCUGAGUAUUCGCAGUAGUUUUGUGCUUGUUUGUUUUUAUUAUUAUUAUUAAAUUUGCCAGUUUUA